UUUCCUGUCCUUUAACAUUUAUUUUAUAACACUCUCUGAAUCAUCUUGUUUUCAUUUUUGGACCAUUUUCCUAGAAAAAUAAAAAAGCUGUUGAAACCUUGGACAUUAAGUUUAACUUAAGAAAAAGGUCAACUACAUUUAAAUGAAUCCGCCAGAUUUAAGCACUCCAUGGACAGUCUCACAAAAACAGCACAGCCAUGCUUCUUUAAAAAGUGCUAAUUCUAUGCUGGAUUCAAUUGAUUUGAAAAGAGAACCUCUUUUUUCAGUACAAAGGUUUGAUAAGCAGAGAAAGCUGAAUGAUGUGUCGAAUAAAAGCCAGGCAUCAAUGACUGAACCAAUUUAUUUCGACUUUGAAGACUUUGCCACUGAACAACAGUAAGAUAUUUAUACAAACUGUGUCCCUUUAUGUCUUGUAAUUUACACUUCCUAUUCCUG
rnacentral:lncRNA from 1 species